UACAGAGGGUGCUAGCGUUGUUCGGAAUCAUUGGGCGUAAAGGGCGUGUAGGCGGUUUGUUAAGUCAUGCGUGAAAUCCCUCGGCUCAACCGGGGAAGGACGCAUGAAACUGGCAAGCUAGAGUACCAAAGAGGGGGGUGGAAUUCCCGGUGUAGCGGUGAAAUGCGUAGAUAUCAGGAGGAACACCUGUGGCGAAGGCGGCCCCCUGGUUGGAUACUGACGCUGAUACGCGAAAGCGUGGGGAGCAAACAGG
rnacentral:rRNA from 1 species